CUCAGCUGACAAGUAGCUAGAGUCCAUCUCUCUGCUGUUUUCACUGCUUUCAGGAAUGGUUUAGUGUCUUCAAAAAGACCGUUAGCAUCACAACCGUUAACUAGCUAUAGAGGCUGGCUAUUAGAGGAGUGUCAGAAAAACCCUAAAACAGGGGAAGUUACAAGAAAAUGUGUAAUGGGAGCUGCUGACAGAGAUACAGGAAUCACAGAGCUGGAGCGGAUCUCCUGUCGAAGAACAUCUCCAAGGCACUAUGAACCAUCUGACUAGUAAGUAAAACCUCAAACAUUCAAAAGUUUAUCAAAUAUUCAAAAAAAUAUAUCAAAUAAAUAUCAAAUAUUUCCUGUAUGUCCUACAAGGCCAUCUUGUUUAACUCUGCACUGAGGACACUUCAUACACAA